UGGGGAAUCUUGCACAAUGGGCGAAAGCCUGAUGCAGCGACGCCGCGUGCGGGAUGAAGGCCUUCGGGUUGUAAACCGCUUUCAGCAGGGACGAGGCCGCAAGGUGACGGUACCUGCAGAAGAAGCCCCGGCUAACUACGUGCCAGCAGCCGCGGUAAUACGGAGGAUGCGAGCGUUAUCCGGAAUUAUUGGGGUUAAAGGGUGCGUAGGUUGCAAGGGAAGUCAGGGGUGAAAAGCUAUAGCUCAACUAUGGUCUUGCCUUUGAAACUCUCUAGCUAGAGUGUACUGGAGGUACGUGGAACGUGUGGUGUAGCGGUGACAUGCAUAGAUAUCACACAGAACUCCGAUUGCGCAGGCAGCGUACUACAUUACAACUGACACUGAAGCACGAAAGCGUGGGUAUCAAACAGG
rnacentral:rRNA from 1 species